rnacentral:lncRNA from 1 species
UGAAUCUCAAUUGAUCGUAUCCUCCGCUCAAUUCCCAUCGCCAUCUUCCAGGUUCCACCCGCGAUGGUCAUCUCCUCUAAUCGAUGCCCGCUAGAGCGCCACUGAUGAUUCGCGGUUGAGUUACGGAAGAACCACCAGACAACCAUCAUCACUGCUGGAAUCCUUGUCGGUCGACUCCUCUUCGCUUCAAUCCUUAUGUCAGCCAUGGACAGGCGUUUCAAAGUGCAGCGCUUUUUGAUUCUUUAACGGUUCGGGAUAAUGUUGGUUUUCUUAUGUAUGAGCAUUCAAGAAUGCCCGAGGAUAAAAUUAAAGAACUUGUUGCAGAAACAUUGGUUGCAGUUGGAUUAAAGGUGGGUAGUUGCACUACCAUGUGGAGUUCAUAAACUUACAAAGGCUUUCAAGCUAGAUCUUGCUAUAUAUUCCAGCUUACAAGAUGCUAAACCUUGCGCACUGGUUGCACUGUGGAAGGCUAACACCUUUAGUGGAGCAAUGAAGAUUUUGAAGACCACUCACUUAAGGAACCAUGUCGUUGUGUGAAGAGUAGAGGAAUACUCGGCGUUGGAUAUGGAUGGCAUUUGCGAAGAAUGGUCGAGUUAGGCAACAACUUUUGUUUUUAAGUGACAAACUGUAUUUUAGGUAUCAGCGAAUGUAUUGUCAAACAAUAUUUUUGUUAAUGUAAAAAUAUUUGUAGUAUAAUUGCAAAUGAUUAUGCAUGGGUUUUUUGGUAUAUAUGUGUGUAUUUUAUUAAAAAAUAAAUCUUUUGGUUUGUUU